UACGUAGGGUGCGAGCGUUUAAUCGGAAUUACUGGGCGUAAAGGGUGCGCAGGCGGUCCUGCAAGUCAGGCGUGAAAUCCCCGGGCUUAACCUGGGAAUGGCACUUGAAACUACGGGACUGGAGUAUGGCAGAGGGAGGUGGAAUUCCACGUGUAGCGGUGAAAUGCGUAGAGAUGUGGAGGAACACCGAUGGCGAAGGCAGCCUCCUGGGCCAAUACUGACGCUCAUGCACGAAAGCGUGGGGAGCAAACAGG
rnacentral:rRNA from 1 species